UGGGGAAUUUUGGACAAUGGGCGAAAGCCUGAUCCAGCAAUGCCGCGUGUGUGAAGAAGGCCUUCGGGUUGUAAAGCACUUUUGUCCGGAAAGAAAUCCUUGGCUCUAAUACAGUCGGGGGAUGACGGUACCGGAAGAAUAAGCACCGGCUAACUACGUGCCAGCAGCCGCGGUAAUACGUAGGGUGCAAGCGUUAAUCGGAAUUACUGGGCGUAAAGCGUGCGCAGGCGGUUUGCUAAGACCGAUGUGAAAUCCCCGGGCUCAACCUGGGAACUGCAUUGGUGACUGGCAGGCUAGAGUAUGGCAGAGGGGGGUAGAAUUCCACGUGUAGCAGUGAAAUGCGUAGAGAUGUGGAGGAAUACCGAUGGCGAAGGCAGCCCCCUGGGGCCAAUACUGACGCUCAUGCACGAAAGCGUGGGGGAGCAAACAGGAUUAGAUACCCUGGUAGUCCACGCCCUAAAACGAUGUCAACUAGUUGUUGGGGGAUUCAUUUCCUUAGUAACGUAGCUAACGCGUGAAGUUGACCGCCUGGGGGAGUACGGUCACAAGAUUAAAACUCAAUGAAUUGACGGGGUCAUAGCUGUUUCCU
rnacentral:rRNA from 1 species